rnacentral:rRNA from 1 species
GACGAACCGUGCGAACGUUGUUCGGAAUCACUGGGCUUAAAGGGCGCGUAGGCGGUCUGCCAAGUCAGGGGUGAAAUCCUGCAGCUUAACUGUAGAAGUGCCUUUGAUACUGGUAGACUCGAGGGAGAUAGGGGUGGGUGGAACUUCUGGUGGAGCGGUGAAAUGCGUUGAUAUCAGAAGGAACGCCGGUGGCGAAAGCGACCCACUGGAUCUUUUCUGACGCUGAGGCGCGAAAGCUAGGGGAGCAAACGGG